rnacentral:tRNA from 1 species
GGAGAGGUGCGUGAGUGGCUGAAACGGCAUGCCUGGAGAGCAUGUGUACGGUUUUCCGUACCCUGGGUUCGAAUCCCAGCCUCUCCGCCA